GGGACAGGGGACGUGAAGUGGGGGAAUGCGCCCUACGCCUUUCUCGGGACGUGCGGGGCCGGGUCCACGUCGGGGUGCUCCCCAAGUGUCCGGUUCCGGAACGGCUCCCAGCCUCCGCAGACACCAAAGCCCCCGACCCCAAGCAGGGGUUGAUGACGCCGGAUUGGGUGGGAGGAGAGGGUCAGCGCAGGGGUCGCCGCGCCCCCAUUCCAGCCCUGCGUUCCUCGGGACUUCCUGGCAGCUUUUCACGACUUCCCUCUCCGAGGCUCCGGCUUUUCGCUUUCAGGGCUGGUACCUCCUUCCCCAUCCCUCUCUUUGGGAUUUGUCGGCGGAAUCCGACCUCUCACCUAACUAGGAGCGCAGCUCUGGGCUCCUCCGACCCUAGACGAGGCCGGGCGGGGAAAGGGCCAGACGUCCGAGUCUCCUGACGCCAGGAAGGCAGAGGCCACCCUCGGGCUGCCCCUGGGUGACCACUUCCUGCAGCCUUGGCGGAGUCCUGAGGACGGAGGCUGGGGACUUGGGAACUUGGGGGGAAGGGCGGGGGCGGGACAGGUGAGGCGAGCUCUGCUAAGAAACCAAAUCCGCAAAGGUUCCAGCACCUGAUAAGAAUAGCUGCCUGAGGCCCUGGAGGGGCCUUGGUCAUUCAGCCCCAGGCAGGUGGUGUCCUCUUCAAGGGCAGGGGUGGACAGCGUGGUGGACCCCCUGACCACCCCCCCCCUACACACACACCUGUCAGGUCAUCCUCAAGUCUGCUGUGCCUUCAGGGGGAUAUGAACGGAAGCUUCCGAGGCUCCUUUUCCCUUCACACACCCCCUUCCUUUGUUUAGUAUAGGGGCAAAGGUCUCUCCUAGCUGUUCAUUGGGCUCUAACAGAGAAGACGUCAGGUGGGGUCCUGCCCUUGUGUUUCCCAUUAGCUGGAGGGGUGACUUAAAAUAAAGGCAAACAGCUUCUAAUUGCUUGCUAGGGCCGGUCCUGGGCUAAGUGCUUUACAGGUGUUGUUUGGGGUCUGUGCCUCCCAACAGCCCCGUGAGAGAAAGUGAUCACUCACAUUUCCGGGCCAUGGAAGCCAAGGCACGGAGUGGUUAGGCUGCUUGUCUGAACUGCGUGGUGCUGAGACCCUAACUCCAGCGUCUGCUCACAUAAUCCCUGAGCCACACUGCCUCUCGUUUCAGCCAGGGGCUGUGUCAUUUCGUUUGUGCUCCAGGGUAGAGGUAAACAGUUGUCCGGGUUACUAGGUCCUGUUUGGUGUUGCCAUAAGGAGAAGUUUGUACUUUACUCUGCAACCUUAUUCUGCAUCUGAAAGACCAGAGUUAGCUCCUGAGGCAGAAGGCUGGAGCAGCUUGUAGUUUUGCUGUGGUCAUCACAGGAUUGAAAGAUUUGGUGAUGAUAAAAUUACCCUGAAUUUGUACGGGCCUUCUUGCAAGAACCAACAAUAUCCAUAUACUUCCUGCAACAUUGUGCUGGCAUUUCUAGAGCUUAUCAAGUUGGUCACCAGGCCAAUCUUUGCUGCCAAUGGAGACUGGGCAGUGGGUUAGCAUAGGUGGUUUACUUUGGCAAGUUCAGACAGCUGUUGGAUUUAGCCAUCUCCCACUGGCCACAAUCGGAUGCUUGCAUGCACAUGGGUUGAACUUUGGGUUGGGAGCAUGAAGUCACCUGCUGCCCACUCUGGCUCUUGGGCCUCAGCAGUAAUUCUUGGCUUUCCUACCCUCAGCAUAUUGAGUGGGAAUAAGGGGAUGAAUGGAGAAUUUCUGGAAGGCACAGAUAAGUGCUAGGCGUUCACAUACAUCUAGGAUGACUGAAUAUUGCCUGGGGUUCUCAGCCAGGCGGUGCCACUGCAACCACAGUGCCUAGCUGCUGGUUUGGCCUCCUCCAUAUAGCUGCCAGCUGGGUGCUCCCCUCCCCCUGCCUUCUCCUCAGUCUGGCAGCGCUGCUUCAUGGUGUCUGUGUUCUCAGCUGCCCGUGCACAACGUGCCUGUUUGUGAAGAUGCAGAGGAGCUGUCCUGUUGAGAGCCAGAGGGAUGGAGCUGUUUCAGUGGGAUCUGGACUUUACCUGUCUAAUGGGCAGGCACAGGCUGGGACUGAGCUGAAGGGUCUGAGAGAGACUGUGGAUCCCCAGAGCUAUGCCCUAACCUGGGUGCUCAUCGGAGAGGGCAGACAUGACUGGCCACCUGAACUUACCUCCAUCUCAGGCUCAUAGUAUUUGCUAGCCACCUCCCUGAGUUCUUAUCAGACUUUGUCAAACCACCCUGGGAAGCCUAUUGGGCAAGAGACAAGUGACUUAGAGGCAUAACUGGGGCGGGAGGGGGAAGAGAAGCCACAGGUAUUUCCCUUCGUGGAGGCCUCUCUCCUUCUCUGCAGUCCUGGCGAGGGUUUGCCACUCCCAGCACCACCACAGCACCCUCCCCUUUCCAGGGACAAUGCUCCCUCUGUGAGCAUUUUAUGGGAUGUUUUUUCUUUCCACUUCACUUCUCAAGCCUUCCUUGUUCAUGCUGCUGUGUUCCUUUUUCCUAAUUCUAGCUCUUGGGGAACCUUGGGGAACCUUGGGGAGCCUCCCCAGUAGCACUAGCCCUUGGGGCCUAGGUGAAGUCCUUUGCUUGGGGUCCUACCAUGAGCCCACAGCCUCCAGGGCUUCUGUGGGAGAGGGCCGCUCCCCUAACCCCAGCAGGUCCCUGAGUUAUUGGUGAAGAGGAGAGAGGCUGGGUCCACAGGUGGUGCUGGCUGAGGAAGGAGGAGUAGAGUCGCACAGAGGAGCACUGACGGAUGGAGAACCAGUUCUGGGAGUUUGGGGAGAGAUCCAGGCAGGAGGGAGCCCACUGGGCAGAACGUAAAGCUCUGUAUGGGCAGCAUGCAUACACGGGAAAGUCUGCAGGCUGGUACCCCAGGACUUGCUGGUCAGGAAAGCCCUGCAGGAAAUGAGUGUUAGUUCUGAGGCCUGGCCCUUCGCAGCUUGGGAGGUACCGGGGCUGCUUUUGCCUUUGCCAGAGACAGCUCCAACUGAGGACCUCCCCAAUGGGUCCAUCCACAGUCCUUCCUUCCCCUAGCACCUGGGAAGACAGGCACGAUGGCGGACUCCCCAUUCCUGGAGCUGUGGCAGUCCAAGGCCGUGUCCAUCAGGGAGCAGCUGGGCCUCGGGGACCAGCCCAAUGACUCCUAUUGCUACAACUCGGCCAAAAACAGCACCGUGCUCCAGGGAGUCACCUUUGGUGGCAUCCCCACUGUCCUGCUCAUAGACGUCAGCUGCUUCCUGUUCUUAAUCUUGGUGUUUUCCAUUAUAAGAAGAAGAUUCUGGGACUUUGGCCGCAUUGCUCUGGUGUCAGAAGCAGACAGCGAGUCCAGAUUUCAGAGAUUGUCAUCGACUUCCUCCUCAGGGCAACAAGACUUUGAAAAUGAGCUGGGAUGCUGUCCCUGGCUGACUGCCAUCUUCCGUCUGCAUGAUGACCAGAUCCUGGAAUGGUGUGGGGAGGACGCCAUCCACUACCUGUCCUUCCAGAGACACAUCAUCUUCCUGCUGGUGGUGGUCAGCUUUUUGUCCCUAUGUGUCAUCCUGCCCGUCAACCUCUCAGGCGACUUGCUGGACAAAGACCCGUACAGUUUUGGGAGGACGACAAUAGCAAACCUGCAGACUGACAAUGACCUCAUUUGGCUGCAUACCAUCUUUGCCGUCAUUUACCUCUUCCUCACCGUGGGCUUCAUGCGGCACCACACUCAGUCCAUUAAGUACAAAGAGGAGAACCUGGUGAGGCGGACCCUGUUCAUCACAGGACUCCCCAGAGAUGCCAGGAAGGAGACUGUGGAGAGCCACUUCCGGGAUGCGUACCCCACGUGUGAGGUGGUUGAUGUCCAGCUGUGCUACAACGUGGCCAAACUGAUCUACUUGUGCAAGGAGAGAAAGAAGACUGAGAAGAGCCUGACCUAUUACACGAACCUGCAGGUGAAGACAGGCCAGCGGACCCUCAUCAACCCCAAGCCCUGUGGCCAGUUUUGCUGCUGCGAAGUGCUGGGCUGUGAGUGGGAAGACGCCAUCUCUUACUAUACGCGGAUGAAGGACAGGCUGCUGGAGAGGAUCACAGAGGAAGAAUGCCACGUCCAGGACCAGCCCCUGGGAAUGGCCUUUGUCACCUUCCAGGAGAAGUCCAUGGCCACCUACAUCCUGAAAGAUUUCAAUGCCUGCAAGUGUCAGAGCCUUCAGUGCAAAGGUGAGCCCCAGCCGUCCUCCCAUAGCAGAGAGCUCUGUACCUCCAAGUGGACAGUCACCUUUGCCGCUGACCCUGAGGACAUCUGCUGGAAGAACCUCUCUAUCCAGGGCCUCCGCUGGUGGCUACAGUGGCUGGGCAUCAACUUCACCCUCUUCCUGGGGCUGUUUUUCCUGACCACACCCUCCAUCAUCCUGUCCACCAUGGACAAGUUUAAUGUCACCAAACCCAUCCAUGCGCUGAAUAACCCAAUCAUCAGCCAGUUCUUCCCUACCCUCCUGCUCUGGUCCUUCUCGGCUCUGCUCCCCUCCAUUGUCUACUACUCUACACUGCUGGAGUCUCACUGGACCAAGUCAGGGGAAAACCAGAUCAUGAUGACCAAAGUCUACAUAUUCUUGAUCUUCAUGGUGCUGAUCCUGCCCUCCCUGGGUCUCACCAGUCUAGACUUUUUCUUCCGGUGGCUCUUUGACAAAACUUCCUCGAAGGCUUCCAUCAGGUUGGAGUGUGUCUUCCUGCCUGACCAGGGCGCCUUCUUUGUGAACUACGUCAUCGCCUCGGCCUUCAUCGGCAAUGGCAUGGAGCUGCUGCGGCUGCCAGGCCUCAUCCUCUACACCUUCCGCAUGAUCAUGGCCAAGACGGCUGCCGACCGCAGGAAUGUCAAGCAGAACCAGGCCUUCCAGUACGAGUUUGGAGCCAUGUAUGCGUGGAUGCUGUGUGUCUUCACUGUCAUCAUGGCCUACAGCAUCACCUGUCCCAUCAUUGCGCCAUUUGGCCUCAUCUACAUCCUGCUCAAGCACAUGGUGGACCGGCACAACCUCUACUUCGUCUACCUCCCAGCCAAGCUGGAGAAGGGGAUACACUUUGCUGCUGUGAACCAGGCCUUGGCAGCCCCCAUCCUAUGCCUCUUCUGGCUCUACUUCUUUUCCUUCCUGCGCCUGGGUAUGAAGGCCCCUGCCACUCUGUUCACCUUCCUGGUGCUGCUGCUCACCAUCCUGGUCUGCCUGGCUCACACCUGCUUUGGAUGCUUCAAGCACCUCAGCCCUCUGAACUACAAAGUAAAGGUCCCCGACCCCACUGCCCCGUCAAGCCCUGGGAGGAACAGAUGGUGGGAUGGGCUCACUCUCAACGCCUCCCCCCCUUGUCCGUAUCAACACAGCAGCAGCCUUCUCCAGAUUCUGCUUCUCCAUGGGAAAGGCGUGGGUGGUUGGGUGCCAUGUGUAGCUUCCCUUGCUCCCCUCAUCACUGCACUCCCCCACCCCAUCCUCUCUCAGGCUGCCGGGGAGCUUGGUGCCAGCUGGUACUAUUAUUCCGGGUGUUAAUAGUCUCUGUGUUUGGAGGGUGUUCGUUCACAGAGAUCAGUUUUGUUUAUCAUUGCAAGUUUUUGCUGUUAUCUGCAGACAGAAGAGCCUGCAAGUGACAAAGGAAGUGAGGCAGAGGCCCACAUGCCUCCACCGUUCACACCCUAUGUGCCUCGGAUUCUGAACGGCUUGGCCUCGGAGAGGACAGCACUGUCUCCGCAGCAGCAGCAGACGUAU